GACGAACGCUGGCGGCGUGCUUAAGACAUGCAAGUCGAGCGGGGUUGAUUGGGUGGCUUGCCAUCUGGUCGACCUAGCGGCGGACGGGUGAGUAACACGUGGGCAACCUACCCAUCUGACUGGGAUAACACCUCGAAAGGGGUGCUAAUACCGGAUACGACUCUGGUGCUGCAUGGUACUAGAGGGAAAGGCGGCGCAAGCCGUUGCGGAUGGAUGGGCCCGCGGCCCAUUAGCUAGUUGGUGAGGUGACGGCUCACCAAGGCGACGAUGGGUAGCCGGCCUGAGAGGGCGGCUGGCCACACUGGGACUGAGACACGGCCCAGACUCCUACGGGAGGCAGCAGUCGGGAAUCUUGCACAAUGGGCGAAAGCCUGAUGCAGCGACGCCGCGUGAGGGAUGAAGGCUUUCGGGUUGUAAACCUCUGUCCCUGGGGACGAAGGACCACACAGGAAAUGGUGUGGGGUGACGGUACCCUAGGAGGAAGCCCCGGCUAACUACGUGACC
rnacentral:rRNA from 1 species